AGUUUUUGGUGGACACCAGCAUGGACCAAAAUUGAAUUUGAGAGUUGCAAACACAGUAAAAGAAGAACUUGCAAAUAGGCACUUCAUAGACCCUUACUGCUCUCACCCGGAUUGCCCUGAGCUGGUGUUCCGGCUUGAUAUUCUUGACAGCAAUGAACAUGCUUGGCAUCUUGACAGACCAAUACUAUUUCGAAAAGGAAGUAAACUGAACUUAAUGUGUGAAGGAUUUUUGCCAUGAAGAACCGGGGUAUUUAUACAGGUUCAUAAUUCAAAUUUACCAUUGAU